rnacentral:rRNA from 1 species
UGCGUAGGCGGGCUAAUAAGUCAGUGGUGAAAUCUCUCGGCUCAACCGGUAAACUGCCAUUGAUACUGUUAGUCUUGAGUUCGGUUGAGGUAGGCGGAAUGUGUAAUGUAGCGGUGAAAUGCUUAGAUAUUACACAGAACACCAAUUGCGUAGGCAGCUUACUAGACCGACACUGACGCUGAGGCACGAAAGCGUGGGGAGCGAACAGGAUUAGAUACCCUGGUAGUC